GACGUAGGAGGCGAGCGUUGUCCGGAUUCAUUGGGCGUAAAGAGCGCGCAGGCGGCUUGGUAAGUCGGAUGUGAAAUCCCGAGGCUCAACCUCGGGUCUGCAUCUGAUACUGCCCGGCUAGAGGUAGGUAGGGGAGAUCGGAAUUCCUGGUGUAGCGGUGAAAUGCGCAGAUAUCAGGAAGAACACCCGUGGCUAAGGCGGCUCUCUAGUACGGUACUGACGCUGAGACGCGAAAGCGUGGGGAGCGAACAGG
rnacentral:rRNA from 1 species